UACGUAGGGUGCAAGCGUUGUCCGGAAUUAUUGGGCGUAAAGAGCUCGUAGGCGGUUUGUCGCGUCUGCUGUGAAAACUCGGGGCUUAACCCCGGGCCUGCAGUGGGUACGGGCAGACUAGAGUGCGGUAGGGGAGACUGGAAUUCCUGGUGUAGCGGUGAAAUGCGCAGAUAUCAGGAGGAACACCGGUGGCGAAGGCGGGCUCA
rnacentral:rRNA from 1 species